AUUCAGUGGAUUCCUUCCAACGUAGGGUUAGUAGGAAACGAGGCAGUAGAUAAGCUUGCUAAAACCGCUGUAAUGGGUGGCUCUGUACUAGAUUCUAUACCAUAUACAAGUGAAGUCAUUCCUAGAAUUAAAAAAAGAUGUUUACAAAAAUGGGAAUACCAUUUUGGAGAACAAUCUUUAUCAAGAGAUGUAGGAAUCUGGUACAGAACAAUCCAAGCUAGGCCCUUGUGGAUACCCUGGUUUGAUUCUGCCAACCUCGCUCGAAAAGAGUUAGUCUCAGCUUUCCGAGUCCGGUCCGGACACAUCCCUACAAAUAAGUUUCUAUGUAUGAUGGGUGUUAAACCGUCACCUCUGUGUGUAGACUGUCAGAAGCCUGAUGACUUGUCUCACGUAUUGUUGGACUGCGUCCGGAAUUCGGACUUGAGAAAAUAGAUAUUUAGUUGUUUGGGCUCCAUGCACAAUGGACAGAUCAAUUGUUGGUUGGCAGAGCCUUUAUCAGACAUAGCAAUCAGCGUAUACCACUUUAUUGAUCUCUCCCUUGCGUAGGGAGCUAUGAAAGCACCCAUGAGGCUGACAUGUUCACCUAGAGUGUCCAAAGCCUCAAUAAAAA